rnacentral:misc_RNA from 1 species
CAAAUCACAAAAAGCAAUAUUAAAACAAAUACGAGAGAUCUCAAAAACAAGACAACACACUAGGGUUGUCAAAAAAGUAGAAAUAGUACCAUUUUAAACCUCUAAACCACAAAAGUCAUAAGAAUCAAGGAGUUACAUACCGGGUAACUGAUCCCAAUCCAAGAAAAGACUGUCGGAAGUGCUCGAAAAAGAAAUAGACAGUUAUCAGACGGCACACGAACUUUGACGCGUUGGAGCAUGAAACGGCAUUAAACCUUCUGUCGGCGUGUGCGGCUCACGUGCAACUCCACUGGUGACUAGACCUCUGGCAGCUGGUCGCCGGCAACCCAGCUGGCAUCUGGG